GGAUGUGAGGGCGAUCUGGCUGCGACAUCUGUCACCCCAUUGAUCGCCAGGGUUGAUUCGGCUGAUCUGGCUGGCUAGGCGGGUGUCCCCCUCCUCCCUCACCGAUCCAUGUGCGUCCCUCCCGAAGCUGCGUGCUCGGUCGAAGAGGACGACCUUCCCCCCUGAGGAGAGGACCGGUCUUCGGUCAAGGGUAUACGAGUAGCUGCGCUCCCCUGCUAGAACCUCCAAACAAGCUCUCAAGAGCUCUAGCUUUGCUUUAUCAGCUUGGCUGUGCUACCUUUUCAUCUUUGACAAUAACUUUUUUUAUUGUUCUUUUCAUUCCUUAUUUGU
rnacentral:snRNA from 1 species